CCUACGGGCGGCUGCAGUGGGGAAUAUUGGACAAUGGGGGCAACCCUGAUCCAGCCAUGCCGCGUGUGUGAAGAAGGCCCUCGGGUUGUAAAGCACUUUCAGUGAGGAAGAACGCCUGGUGGUUAAUACCCAUCAGGAAAGACAUCACUCACAGAAGAAGCACCGGCUAACUCCGUGCCAGCAGCCGCGGUAAUACGGAGGGUGCGAGCGUUAAUCGGAAUUACUGGGCGUAAAGCGCGCGUAGGUUGCUUGAUAAGCCGGUUGUGAAAGCCCCGGGCUCAACCUGGGAACGGCAUCCGGAACUGUCAAGCUAGAGUGAAGGAGAGGAAGGUAGAAUUCCCGGUGUAGCGGUGAAAUGCGUAGAGAUCGGGAGGAAUACCAGUGGCGAAGGCGGCCUUCUGGACUGACACUGACACUGAGGUGCGAAAGCGUGGGUAGCAAACAGGAUUAGAUACCCUAGUAGUC
rnacentral:rRNA from 1 species